AGAACAAAGAUACACGGCUAGAGGACAGAAAACAAAGAUGCCUACUCUAAAGGAUUGCUAUGCAUGCAGGGAAAAAAUCGGAGUUGCCAGCAAAACAUGUCAGCACUGUAGGGCCAAACACCCAUUUAUAAGGAAUUGCUUGAAAAAAAAAAGAAACAGCUUUCCCAGGAAUGGAAAGCGAGACAAAAAAAAAACAGCAGUGUAAACAAAGUUUACGAUGCAACAAAUCUACUACUCCACAAGUGGGAACUUUUAGAGAGGUUCCCAGUGCUACUUCUUGCUAGGAGAACCUCAAAUGGAUUUUCAGCUGAAUGCUUCUGUCCAUGGAAUAUGGGGACAGAAGAUAGUCAAGAUGCUUUUCUGACAAUAAAGCGACUGUAUGAAAGUCUUCUCAAUGUGGCUAUUGCAGAUAAAGAAGCAAGCAGCAUAGGAGAGAGUUCUGCCACAAACAGCACAGAGACUCCACCAGCAGACUCCACACAACAGCUCACCUGUAAUGGUAAAAUG